rnacentral:rRNA from 1 species
AUGAGCGCCGCGGGGUCCCGGGUCGAGGCGGCGCCGCGGCUCGCGCAAUGGCGCGUCGACGCGCUCCCCUGCUACACCUACCGCAAGUCCGACUCCUUCCGCGUCGGCCUCUGGAACUGGUACCUGUCUGUGGAGAGAAACAACAAGCAAACUUGCGUUAAGCUCUUUGCAGAGUUGUCAAAUUCCGCCAAGAACACAGCCCCGGCACCGAUAGCCUCCUUUGUCACAAAACUUCUGAUAUCCUUUCCUCCAAAUCAGAAGAUCAUAGAGCAUCCAGGUAUCUUGGACAAGCAUCUGAAGCACGAAGGGUUUGUGUGGACGAUUGAUAGUAGUUUUACAGGAAGAUUUGUGAUUGAGAUAGAGUUUCUGGACCUGAAAGUUGCAGACUCAUCUGGUGGUGAACCUGCCUCGAUCUGGGCCUCACACCAAAUCAAGCAGUCCUCAGACAACACCGCGCUGUCAUCCCUCGCAAGGAUGCUGCAAGAGGGCAUCCUCUGCGACAUCACGAUCAACGCCGACGACGGCAGCAUCAGGGCGCACCGGGCGAUCCUGGCCGCCCGCUCGCCCGUCUUCAGGAGCAUGUUCUCGCACGACCUCAGGGAGAAGGAGCUCUCCACGGUCGACAUCUCCGACAUGUCCCUCGACGCGUGCCGGGGCUUCCUCAACUACAUCUACGGCGACCUGCACAGCGAGGAGUUCCUCGCGCACCGGCUGGCCCUCCUCGGCGCCGCCGACAAGUACGACAUCGCCGACCUCAAGGAGGCGUGCCUCGAGAGCCUGCUGGAGGACAUCGACGCCCGGAACGUGAUCGAACGGCUCCAGACGGGCCAUCUGUACCGGCUGCAGAGGCUCAAGGACAGCUGCAUCAGGUUCCUCGUGGACUUCAGGAAGGUGUACGAGAUGCAGGAGGAGUUCAGCGCCUUCCUUCAGACGGCGGACAGGGACCUGGUGGCUGAAGUGUUUCAGGGCGUUCUUGCGGCGUGGAGUGGCCGGUGA